UACAGAGGUCUCAAGCGUUGUUCGGAUUCAUUGGGCGUAAAGGGUGCGUAGGCGGCGCGGUAAGUCGGGGUGUGAAAUCUUGGAGCUUAACUCCGAAACUGCAUUCGAUACUGCCGUGCUUGAGGACUGGAGAGGAGACUGGAAUUUACGGUGUAGCGGUGAAAUGCGUAGAUAUCGUAAGGAAGACCAGUGGCGAAGGCGGGUCUCGUGGACAGUUCCUGACGCUGAGGCACGAAGGUCAGGGGAGCAAACGGG
rnacentral:rRNA from 1 species